rnacentral:lncRNA from 1 species
GGAACAGUUAGCUGAGUGGGAGCUUUCACUUCAAUCUGCCCCUUGCCAUAGAAACAGAAAACAUACACAGCUGUAUCUGGAAAUACAUGUCUGCAGUAGCUUUCAGUUUUGUGUCUGAGCACCAGCAUGCUUUCUAGGACCUAAUUGUAAGGGCAGCAGUGAGGAUUAUAAUGAAGGGGAGAGUUGGCUGUUCAUCUUUUAGAAUCAGGAUUGAAAACAAGCUUCCUGUGGUUUUGAAAGAAGGAUUUGCUUUGUGUUUCCCUGUGCUUUUAAAUACAUGCAGUUGAUUUUUCUUCUUCUUCUCCAAUAACCAGCAUGUGAGCUUUAAGAUAAAUGCUGUGGUUGGAAAGUCUACCUCUGUGUCUAAUGAAUUUUCACUCCAGGGGCGCCUUCAUUUCCUCCCUGUUUUAUUCUCCAUUCACCCAAAGGUGGACUGUUUGAAUCUCAGAAAUGAUUAUCAUAUUCAUAACAAAUAUAUGCACAAUGAAUUAUAAAACAUUAUAGAGAAAAAUGGAAGGAAAUGUCAGUAGCUGUGAAGUCAAAAAAUUU